rnacentral:tRNA from 1 species
AUUUUGGUAGCUUAAUUAAUAGAGCGUUAUAUUGAAGAUAUAGAGGAAAUUUAAUUUCAAAAUA